CUCCACGAAUCCCUCUUACUUAUCUUAAUUCUUGAUCUUGAUAUUCAUUGGCAAUUUCGUGAUCAUUUUAAACCUUGAACUACUAGUGCGAAGAUCUUCGUAUUUAAAAUAUAUUUCUCUAGUUCUAUAAUUAUGUUUUAUGAUCUUUAUGUAUAAUAUAUGCGAGGACACAGAAAAAAAGAAAGAAAAAAGAGAAAAACAAUUGUGACACAUAGAAUUUAAUCGGUCGAUUGAAACUUGGAAAUUCCCUCAAAGGAAUGUUAAAAUUCAGUAUCGAUAACGUUUACAGCAAUUAAUUUCAACGAUACGUGGUAUAUGUAUCUUCAACUCUGAUAUUCUCUUAAAUUACUAUGAAGAUCAUAGUUUACAAUAUAGAACAUUAUUAUUUCUUUAUAAAAGGAAUAGGAUUUAAUCAGACCAAUGCAGUGCAAAGAAUAUUACUAUAUAUACAGUAGCUAGGAUAUUUCAUUGCAUCAUUCUGAAUUACAUUACAUAAUUUUUGUGUUUUAGUCUGCUUUUAAAUAACUGUCAGGAAGAUAUUCAAGGAAGAGAAAAAAUAUAAGAGAGCAAAAAGAUUAAGAAACCUAAUAUAAGGUACACUAUUUUUUACAUAAAAUUAUACUCUAUAUAUAUGUAUAAGCACCGACAUAUAAAAUAAAUAUAAUAGUAUAGAACUACCAAUAUUUAAAAGUACGUAUCAAUGAAAAUAAACAUAUCUUUAAUAACAAA